rnacentral:rRNA from 1 species
UACGGGGGGAGCAAGCGUUGUUCGGAUUUACUGGGCGUAAAGGGCGCGUAGGCGGUUUGGUAAGCCUUCUGUUAAAGCUUCGGGCCCAACCCGGAAAGCGCAGAGGGUACUGCCAGGCUAGAGGACGGGAGAGGAGCGCGGAAUUCCCGGUGUAGCGGUGAAAUGCGUAGAGAUCGGGAGGAAGGCCGGUGGCGAAGGCGGCGCUCUGGAACGUUACUGACGCUGAGACACGAAAGCGUGGGGAGCAAACAGG